rnacentral:tRNA from 1 species
UCCCUGGCAGUCCAGUGGCUAAGACUCCAUGCUUCCAAUGCAGGGGGUCUGGGUUCAAUUCCUGGUCAGGGAA